rnacentral:rRNA from 1 species
GACGAACGCUGGCGGCGUGCCUAAUACAUGCAAGUAGAACGCUGAAGGAAGGAGCUUGCUCUUUCCGGAUGAGUUGCGAACGGGUGAGUAACGCGUAGGUAACCUGCCUGGUAGCGGGGGAUAACUAUUGGAAACGAUAGCUAAUACCGCAUGACAACAGUUAUUGCAUGAUAGCUGUUUAAAAGGGGCAACUGCUCCACUACCAGAUGGACCUGCGUUGUAUUAGCUAGUUGGUGAGGUAACGGCUCACCAAGGCGACGAUACAUAGCCGACCUGAGAGGGUGAUCGGCCACACUGGGACUGAGACACGGCCCAGACUCCUACGGGAGGCAGCAGUAGGGAAUCUUCGGCAAUGGACGGAAGUCUGACCGAGCAACGCCGCGUGAGUGAAGAAGGUUUUCGGAUCGUAAAGCUCUGUUGUAAGAGAAGAACGAGUGUGAGAGUGGAAAGUUCACACUGUGACGGUAUCUUACCAGAAAGGGACGGCUAACUACGUGCCAGCAGCCGCGGUAAUACGUAGGUCCCGAGCGUUGUCCGGAUUUAUUGGGCGUAAAGCGAGCGCAGGCGGUUAGAUAAGUCUGAAGUUAAAGGCUGUGGCUUAACCAUAGUACGCUUUGGAAACUGUUUAACUUGAGUGCAAGAGGGGAGAGUGGAAUUCCAUGUGUAGCGGUGAAAUGCGUAGAUAUAUGGAGGAACACCGGUGGCGAAAGCGGCUCUCUGGCUUGUAACUGACGCUGAGGCUCGAAAGCGUGGGGAGCAAACAGG